GUUGCGCUGCCUCGUCCAGCUCUGGAUCGCUGUGUGUCACCUCCUCCGUCUGCAGAUCUACUUCAAUCUGCGUGUUGUGCUUUUUUUUUGUAACUGGAUUUCAGAUCUUGAAAGUUGAAGGUGAGGGAAGACGAGUAUUUUUGAUCCGCGACUACAGUGGGCCGCAAAGUAGAGGAUUAUUUGCACGUUUACAACCUCCGACACCAAUCCAAUUUUAAUUCGUUUGGGCGAAGUAAGCGCUUGCCGACAAUUAACGACUUUACUUUGGCGAGAGUAAUGGAAUUAGAUUCUGACCACACAAUGCAUUGAUUUAUGGUUAAUCCAUACAUGUUCUGC
rnacentral:lncRNA from 1 species